CCUACGGGAGACAGCAGUGAGGAAUAUUGGUCAAUGGACGCAAGUCUGAACCAGCCAUGCCGCGUGCAGGAAGACGGCUCUAUGAGUUGUAAACUGCUUUUGUACGAGGGUAAACGCAGAUACGCGUAUCUGUCUGAAAGUAUCGUACGAAUAAGGAUCGGCUAACUCCGUGCCAGCAGCCGCGGUAAUACGGAGGAUUCAAGCGUUAUCCGGAUUUAUUGGGUUUAAAGGGUGCGUAGGCGGUUGGAUAAGUUAGAGGUGAAAUCCCGAGGCUCAACUGUAGAAUUGCCUCUGAUACUGUUCGUCUAGAGAGUAGUUGCGGUAGGCGGAAUGUAUGGUGUAGCGGUGAAAUGCUUAGAGAUCAUACAGAACACCGAUUGCGAAGGCAGCUUACUAAGCUACUUCUGACGUUGAGGCACGAAAGUGUGGGGAGCAAACAGGAUUAGAUACCCCUGUAGUC
rnacentral:rRNA from 1 species